UUUCUUGACAGAUUUGGGGCAAUGUGGUGCCAAGGAAACUUCUGAAGGUUUCAGGGACAAGGAGAAACACAGGUUGGACUGGUGGUUCAGUCUGCAGUCACCAUUUGUUGGGGUCUUCUGGUUCCGCUCCUUCCCCAGCCCUCAUUUCCACACUGGGAAUUGCUGGUGGUGCACGCAAGGGCUUCUACUGGCCAGUCCGCAGUAACAUCAGUUUUGUUACUCCUGGUGUGUUAAUGUGCACAUGAAGUAAAGGCUACUGCAGAUGGAAAUCUAGGAAGCCAAAAAACUGCAAAAUUGGUAGGCACAGGUGGAGUACAUAAAAGUUGUCAGAGUGUUUGCUAUGUGACUCUAAGACUCCUGUGUAGGAUAAACUGAUCAUGGAGUGGGUUAGACAGACACAGGUUACCCACCAACCUCAAGAAAAUUUCUUUGCAGCAAAGUACACUGUAAAACACCACACAAUCCCCAACUCAGCAGUACAUCCUUCAUAGGUAUUAGUUUGGCUCCGAGAGACCCAAAGACUUCAAAGAAAUGGGAUCCUUAAAUUCCAAAAAGUUAAGCACUGCACCUUCUGGCACACCUGCUUAUGUCUAACAACUAUUGUCUCUGUAGCCAUAAAGACCUACAAAAAUGGCAAAAUCUUACCAAAGGCAACCUAGAAUUACAAUGGCCAUUAUGGAGAAAGUGCCAAUUAGACAAGGUCAUUUAUGUAAGACGUGCACUUAAAAGCAAGGGUUCCCAAAUUCAAAAAGGAUGGGAUACCAAUUUUAACUGUUAUGCAGAAGCUUCCAGAAGGCUUCAAGAUUCCAAAAUAGCUUCACUGAAAGUUUCAUUGCAAAAAGCAAAUAAAAAAUUAAAGACACAAAAGGUAUGUAAAACAACACCUCCUGCACUGCAGCCCCCUGGGUGCCCGUGAUCAAAACCCUGGCACAGAAAUUGAGGUCUCGUUUCUAAUUAAUUAACUGCAAUACUGGAAAAAAGAUUGUUCUUAACAGUUUUGUGCAAAUCCUUCAAUACUAAUUUGAAUGUCCCCAUAUGGGCCCCAUAUGGGCCCCUCCCAGAGCUGACGAGAUUGAGGGAAUUUCUGGUACACUGCUAUGUUAUUCUUUAAAUAGACAAGGAAAAUUGUCAAAAAAAAUUAAAAUUGAUGGAAACCUCACCACAUCCUGGUAGAUACUGAAGCUACACUGUCUAGGUAAAUCCCAUUCACGGCCUGCACAUGGGAUCCUGGCCAAACUGGUAGAAGCCAACUAAGGAGGAUAAUCCUUACCAGAAUCCACUCUCCCAGAUCUCUGUAGUAACCAGGAGAGAGAGGAAUAUAAAACAUCUUUUGCACCCUCUUUGAGGAUGCCUUUUGAAUUCAAGGGGUUGUUCGAUAUGGCCAGGAAUAUUUACUAUUUGUCCUAGCUAAAACCUUACAUAGUAUUUGAAAUAACUUUUUAAAAAAGUAACUCUAUGAUUAGAAGUUGGCCAAACCGGAAGCUGAUUUUCAGAGCCUAAUGAGAACAUUUAAGGAUUCCUUCCCUAAGCUAAAAUGAAACUAUGUGCCCACUAAAACAUUCCAAAAACACGCAACUCUAAAUCUAAAACACAGGCAUCUUUUGAUUUCCAUCUCUUUGAAUAUCUUCCAGAUAUAAGAAAGCAAACUGAAGAUAAUGUGGCUGCACAGUAUUUUCUUGAUGCAUUGAUGAGAGACAUUUUGCAAUGAUCUGAACACGACUGCCAGGCCAGAAAAGCCCUGAUAGCAACUGCAUGCCUAGAAGACCACAUUUCAGUCCCUUCCCUGCCCACGAUCAUAUGCUGAACAUAUACCAACCCCCACCCAUGAUCCUGUGCUGCCUGCCCUCCUGCAUGUAUCUCCCCAUUCUUCCCCUAUAAAACUCCAGGUGUCCAUUUUGUUGGCAGAGAGGUAGUUGUUAAGGCUUGAGCCACCUCCCCUGGCUGCCAGCACCCAAAAUAAAGUUCUGCCUUUCUCUUUUCCAAA